UUAUUUGAAACAGGAUACAACCUCACACACCGGGUAAACAAAAGGAUAACAAAACCAAGUGGGCCUAAAAGCAGCCACCUUUAAGAAAGCGUUACAGCUUCACCACACCCAACCCAAAAUCAUUUCAACACCUACUAACCCUUAACCCCCACUGAACCAUUUUAUACUACUAUAAAAACUAUUAUGCUAGGACUAGUAACAAGAAUUUGCUUUUCUCCUUAAUAUAAACAUAAGCCAAAACGGACCAUCCAUUGGCAAUUAACGCUAAUGAACUAACUAUAAUAACAACCCUACUAGAAAACCCUAUAUUCUAUAACGUUAAUCUCACACCAGAAUAUUAAAGGAAAGAUUAAAAGAAAAAGAAGGAACUCGGCAAACUUCAACCCCGCCUGUUUACCAAAAACAUCGCCUCUUGAUAAACAUAAGAGGUCCAGCCUGCCCAGUGACAAUGUUCAACGGCCGCGGUACCCUAACCGUGCAAAGGUAGCAUAAUCACUUGUUCUUUAAAUGAGGACUUGUAUCAAUGGCAUCACGAGGGUUGUACUGUCUCCUUUUUCCAAUCAGUGAAACUGAUCUCCCCGUGAAGAAGCUGGGAUUUUUAU
rnacentral:rRNA from 1 species